rnacentral:misc_RNA from 1 species
UUUAAAGCCAUAUUAACUCAAAGUGCUUUAUAUAUGGUGUUAAAAUUAAGUAAAAACAAUGAGACACUAAUCUUCUACAAACAUAGAAAUAGAAAUCAAAGAAAAUGUCUUAAAUGUAUAACAACUAUGUAAGAAACAUCAAACUGAUCAGUAAUUCAAUCUAAUUUCAUGGUGAUCGGCAAUUCUUUGACAUCAAAGUGACUUAAACCACUAGUCUACAGAUGUUAUCAGAACUUUGAUCCGGCAUACCUGGAAAUCAACAAGAUUCUUGUUCACUCCACUGCUUUUCUGCUUCGUCUCCUAUCUGCGUUCAAUCUCGGCUUCAUCAUGGUCCUUCCGCCUAUUUUUAAGUGGCUCAUUGGACACAAAUGUUGAGUUAUUUUUAUUCUUCGAACUUUGUAAGUACUGACUAGAGCUUGAACAGGAAGGCCUCUUGCACUUGAUCAACUCACAAGCCUUUAAAUAGAACCCCUCUUCUCACAAUUAAAAGGCCUAUAAAAUCCACAUUAGAAGAGUAAAUUUCCACAAAAAUAGCCAGAUAAACCAAGAAUAAGGCAUUUCACAAUAAUAAUUUGGGGGAAAAAAAAAAUCUAGAGCUACUAGCAGUUAAUGAGAAGUGACCCAAAGGCACAGAGUGAAACUUAAUUUAACUCCUGCUUUCUUCCAAAUAGCAGUAUAUAAUAGAAGUAAAUUUAAGUAAAAGAAAAAAGGCAAAAUUUUAUUUAAUGCAACAUAGAGAAAUUUCUGCUAAUCUUGCAAGCAAAUCAAAACCAAAUCACAGGGUUAAUGAUAGCACCUAGGAUAUUAAAUACAGUCAUCUAAAUAUUCCUUCUUACAAAUCCUAUAUAAAUCUGAGAAAUCAAAAGUUAAUGAUGCUUGGCAGCAAUGAGAAACCAUCAGAAAUAAAGCCAACUGUUAGACCAGUACUAUAAAACUAAAAUUCAUUGGUUGAAAUAAAGCCAACUGUUAGACCAGUACUAUAAAACUAAAAUUCAUUGGUUAAAUCCAUUUUAUUGCACCGGCCAACCUUAAUUUUCAUCACGCAUAAAAAUUGAAUAAAUAGAAGAAUUAAAUUGCUUAAUGAAAUGCAAAACCCAUUACCUCAGAAUGAACAGAAUCAUAGUUCACCUAGAUUAGUUUAAAAUAUAGGGAAGAGACAAAAGGCUUAAACCGCUUAAUAGAAAACACAUGCCCCUACUGUCGAAAAGCGGAAUCAAUCAUUAGUACUCUUCCAUAAGUCCAAAAAAGCUUAACCCCUCAAAGAAGUUGCCCAAGCAGAGACAAUUGAGAAGGAAACUUCCAUGAUUAAGUUCUUGGUGAGUCUCUUUUAAAUACAGGUUAACAGACUACUCCUUUUGCAGAGAGAAGAUAGACUAAGAGAACUCACAAAGAUUUUCUAACAUGCCAAUAGUCCAAUCCUUUGAUCUUCUUCCCCUAAAUGAUGCCCACACCCCAUCUUUCUUUACAAAAAUGAAGAUGAUAAGGUUCUGUUACUGUUAGAUGCUAGAUAUGCAGAAGAAUUGUAGUUACAAGAGGCUCUAAAG